GACGAACGCUGGCGGCGUGCUUAACACAUGCAAGUCGAACGGGUCUGCCCUGUUUUUUGCGGGGUGGGUCAGUGGCGAACGGGUGAGUAACACGUGAGUAACCUGCCCCUCACUUCUGGAUAACCGCUUGAAAGGGUGGCUAAUACGGGGUGUUCUGGCUGUGCCGCAUGGUGUGGCUGGGAAAGAUUCACUUUUGUGGUGUUUUGGUGGGGGAUGGGCUCGCGGCCUAUCAGCUUGUUGGUGGGGUGAUGGCCUGCCAAGGCUUUGACGGGUAGCCGGCCUGAGAGGGUGGGCGGUCACACUGUGACUGAGAUACGGCCCAGACUCCUGCGGGAGGCAGCAGUGGGGGGUAUUGCACAAUGGGCGGAAGCCUGAUGCAGCGACGUCGCGUGAGGGAUGGAGGCCUUCGGGUUGUGAACCUCUUUCGCCGGUGAAGAAGGUCCUGCUCUUUGUGGUGGGGUGGACGGUAGCCGGGUUAUGAAGCGCCGGCUAACUACG
rnacentral:rRNA from 1 species